rnacentral:rRNA from 2 species
CAUGGUUUUUUGAUUUUAAUUUAAAAUUUGAUCUGCACGAUGAUUGAUUAAAUUGCCGCAGUAUUUUAACUGUGCUAAGGUAGCAUAAUCAUUAGUUUUUUAAUUAAGAACUGGAAUGAAUGAUUGGACAAGAUAAUUUCUGUCUCUUUUUGAUUUUUUUUUAAAUUUUAUUUUUAAGUGAAAAAGCUUAAUUGAUUUUAAAAGACGAGAAGACCCUAUAGAGUUUGAUAUUUAACUUUAAUUUUUUUUUAGAAUAUUUUUUAUGGUUGAAUAUUUGAUUGGGGUGAUUUGAAGAUUUGAUUAAUUCUUUAAAUUUUAUGUUGAUGAUAGUUAAUUUUAAAUUUUAAUAUUAUUAUAAUUAAAUUUAAUUACCUUAGGGAUAACAGCGUAAUUUUUUUUUUAAGCUCAUAUUUUAAAAAAAGUUUGCGACCUCGAUGUUGGAUUAAAGUUUAUUUUGGAUGCAAUAAUUUAAAAAUUAGGUCUGUUCGACCUUUAGAACU